rnacentral:rRNA from 1 species
UACGGGGGGGGCAAGCGUUGUUCGGAAUUACUGGGCGUAAAGGGCUUGUAGGUGGCCAACUAAGUCAGACGUGAAAUCCCUCGGCUUAACCGGGGAACUGCGUCUGAUACUGGAUGGCUUGAGUGUGGGAGAGGGAUGCGGAAUUCCAGGUGUAGCGGUGAAAUGCGUAGAUAUCUGGAGGAACACCGGUGGCGAAGGCGGCAUCCUGGACCGAUAUUGACGCUGAUGCGCGAAAGCCAGGGGAGCAAACGGG